GGCACACACCACCGGCUCGCUCAGCCCAGAAGCGGAAAGUAUACCUGCCGCGCGCGGGGCCCCGCUUGCUGCCCUCCGGCCAGCUCCAUCCGCUUGUGCCCGGGGACGCUCGGUCACUCCGCUGUCGCCUCUGGCCAGCGGCGCACCGUCUAGGCAAGCCACCUGCCGCCUAGGGCACCGAUCGUCUCCUGCAGCGUGCGGAGCCACCGAGGUGAGUGUCCCCGUGCCCCUUCCUUGCCUCCCGUUGCUGCCCGGCUGCCCUGGCUGGAGUUGACUGGAGAAGCGAGGCGACCACAGGGAGGCCAGCCUGCGGCCGCUUUCCUUUUCAAAGAGUGGCCGGACGGCCCGGUAGGCCCCUCUGGCGGUCGCCGCCUUCCGCUGCCCCCCGCCCGGUGCGGGCCCGGAACUUGGCGUUUUAGGACUCCCGGUCCGGCGGGGUCGCGGGCGGGGCAGCGCGGCUUCCCCUUUAAGGCCGGAGCCGCUCGUCGCCUUGAGUGUGAGGGUGUGUGAGUGUGCGGCGUGCGUGUCUCCUCCUCCCCGAGUGACACAGCAGUGAGAAAUGCCUAUCAGUAACUUAAACCCCCGAAACUCCACCUUCCGGGCGCGCGGCGCGGAGCCGGGCGGUGGGAAUGGAGCGAGCAGACUGAGGCCGCCGCUGCAGCGCCGCCGGCAUGAACUUGGCCGCGAGCUGAAGCGGCUGGCGGCGGGCGGGCUCGGGGGGCACCGGCCGCUACCCGGGGGAGAUCUGCCACCCAGCCGGGCCGCUCGGCAGGCGCCGGAGGCCAGGUUGCCCGCGCUGGCGGCAGCCUGCCCCUUGGGCACUGCCCCCGCCGCCGCCGCCGCCGCGGGAGCUCCGCAGCACGCCCUGUGUCUAGGUCGUUUGGGAAGCGCCUGGGAGAGUCAAGAAUAAAAUUGCAGGUCAAACAAUGGAUGACUGGAAAAGUCGACCUGUAGUCAAGAGCAUGCUUCCCCAUUUCGCCGUGGUGGGAAAUCGUCAGGAGCCCAGAAAGCUCCAAGAAUCGGCACAGGGAACCACUAAGCGGAGACAGGAAGGAGAAGAUUUCCAGCUUUCAGGCAUGGGCGACGAAGGUUACCCUAAUCAAAUCAAGAGACCAUGCCUUGAGGAUGUCACCCUUUCAAUGGGCCCGGGUGCCCAUCCCAGCACAGCCUGUGCACAGCUGCAAGUUCCUGCGUUACCCAUGAACCCUAGUUCUGCAGCAAUGGCAGCCCCUGGCCAUCCGUUACUACUGGACAAUAGCCCCAGGAAUGGCAGCGUCAUGGGCCCACCAUUUGCAGGGCCAUCAACAGCAGAAAUGGGAGUGAAAGGCCCCUCUAUUCCUUACUAUGACAAAACCAACAGCGCACCGGCUGUGGAUCAGGAACUUCAAGAUCUGCUGGAGGAGCUCACAGAAAUUCAAGAAUCUUCUCAGAGUGAGCUCGAUCUUGAGAAAAUCCUGGGGACCAAGCCGGAAGAACCGCUGGUCUUACACCACCACCCACCGGCAACCUUAGGUGCGACGGCCAAGCCCACGGUUCAGAUGCCACGCUUGGAGAGCCUCAGUUCCGGCAAGGACUUUGCUUCCAGUUGCAGCCAGGUCACUGGGGUGUCGCUUCAGAUCCCACCCUCCUCUGCGGGGCUCAGCUAUGCAAUUACGCCUGCCAGUAAGCAGAUGGCCUCCCCAAGUUCCUCGACUGUGCAGGCCAAGAAUCAGGCCCAGGUGACACUCUCAGCUGCCCUACCGCCACUCCCAGUGUCUCAGUGGCAUCAUGCCCACCAGCUGAAAGCGCUGGCGGCCAGCAAGCAGGGCUCCAGUAAGAAGCAGCUGGGCCCCACCACCAGUUGGUCUGCCCUGCCUCCUUCUGGCCUCUCCCCACCUUACCAGCCAGCGCCCGUGGUCUCACCACAGCCGCUGUCGCCCUUCAGCCCUCAGGGGCUCAUGGUGUCCUGUAUGUCAUCAAACAGCCUGCCGGGGAGCACCCUCCAGGGCUCUCCCAAUGCCUUACUGUCCAGCCUGGCGCCCAGCAGCAGCACUGUCCUUGGGCCGGCCAGGCCCUACGUGCCGGAGAAGUUCCCUAGCCCCACGCUCCAGCAGCCACCACCAUUUAGCGCGCAGACCUCCAUCCUUGCCAACCUGAUGUCCUCUACCAUCAAACACCCUCAGGGGCACCUGAUGUCUGCUCUGCCCACCAGCAACACGGGGCCCUUAACCCCCUAUCACCCAGAGACACUGUCUAGCCCAGGCCUGCCCCAGCAGUCCUUCACUGCACAGUGCCCCCUGAUUCAGGGCCUCACCACCUCCACUCAUCCACUCUGCCAGCCGCAGCCACCAGCCAGUGCUAUCUACAAGCCCAAAACCCUGAACAUGAUCAUGCAGCAGGGCCUGACCAGCCCCAGCCCGGGAGCCUCAGAGCCCUUUCCUUUCGGCAACACCAAGCCCUUGUCACAUUUCAUCUCUGAGCCAGGCCCCCAGAAGAUGCCGUCAGUGCCCACCACAUCUCGGCAGCCUGCCUUGCUGCACUACCUGCAGCAGCCCACACCACCACCGGCCUCUUCUGCCACGGCCUCAUCCACGGCCACCUUGCAGCUGCAGCAGCAGCCGGAUCUUUCUUCAUUCCUCCUGCAGCAUGUGACACAGCAACCACAGCGCUUUCAGCGGUCUCUGGCCUCGGGGGAUUCCAUGCCUUCUCUGCCCAGACAGGCGUGUUGCCAACUGUUCUCGUGGACUUCCGUGGCUGGCUCGAUGGAGCACCAGCUGAAUCAGCACUGGAACCCUUAUCCUAUCAGGCAGGAUCCUCAGCCUGGAGCCGUGUCACCAUCUAAGAUUACUCAUGUAGACAAAGCCUGCAAGCUUGGGGAAGCCAGGCCCCCCCAGGUCAGCCUCGGGCGACAGCCCCCGUCCUGCCAGGCCCUGGGGAGUGAGUCCUUCCUGCCCAGCAGCUCCUUUGCUCAUGAGCUGGCCCGAGUCACCUCCUCGUACAGCACCUCAGAGGCAGCGCCCUGGGGCGGCUGGGAUCCGAAGGCCUGGAGGCAGGUGCCCGCUCCACUACUGCCUAGCUGCGACGCUGUUGGUAAGUCACUCCCCUCCCAGCCUCGCUUUCCUCAUCUGUCAACUGGGCACAGUCCCCUGCUCAGCCUGCCCACCUGCUUCACAGUGUUGUUGGAGGAACAGAGGAGGUGA
rnacentral:lncRNA from 1 species